rnacentral:miRNA from 1 species
CGAUAACUGGUACACCAGAGCC